AGAGAGAGACAUGCGCGCAUAUCAAUAAGCGGAGGAAAAGAAACUAACAAGGAUUCCCUUAGUAACGGCGAGUGAAGCGGGAAGAGCUCAAAUUUGAAAUCUUCAAGGUUUUACCUUGACGAAUUGUAGUUUAAAGAAGUGUUUUCUGCUGAAGUUUUGGUAAAAGUUCUUUGGAAUAGGACAUCAUAGAGGGUGAGAAUCCCGUAUUUGACCAUUAUUUUCAGCUUUGUGAUACACUUUCAAAGAGUCGGAUUGUUUGGGAAUGCAGUCCAAAAUGGGUGGUAAAUUUCCAUCUAAAGCUAAAUAUUGGCGAGAGACCGAUAGCGAACAAGUACCGUGAGGGAAAGAUGAAAAGAACUUUGAAAAGAGAGUUAAACAGUACGUGAAAUUGUCAAAAGGGAAGCGUUUGACACCAGUGUUGUUUUCUCGAAAAUCAAUUAAAAAUGGCUCGAUUUUGUAUUGCUUGAGACCUUAAAAGCUCACUGUACAUUUUUCGUGUCUUUUUUAAUGCACUUUUCGUUUAACAAGUCAACAUCAGUUUCUUUUGUUGUGAAAGGGUCAUUGGAAGGUGGCUUUCUUUUCGGAGAAAGUGUUUAUAGCCUUUGGCCUCUGCAAUCGAAGAGACUGAGGUCUGCAGCGUAGACUCUUCGGGGUUAGAUACAUUUGUGCUAAGUUAUAGCUUUUUAUAGACAACUUGUUGACUAUAAUUAGUCUUGUAGCUUACUCGCUUAUGCUAUUUUACCUACGCUUAGGAUGUUGAAGAUGUAGCACAUCAU
rnacentral:rRNA from 1 species